UUGCACUGUCACUUCUGGUAGAAAUUCAUUGACCUUUUGUGAUAGGUUGUGAUUUUACUUAGUUUAAUAAAAAUGUACUUAAUUAGAUUUUUUUUUUUUUUACUAAAAUAAAUACAUAAAUACACUGUAUAGCUAGGUUUCUGCUUAAAACAGUGUAACUGGGGGCUCUGAAAAAACUGCUUGUGGAUAAUUUGUUAAUAUUGUAAACUUUCAUCUGAAUACAUUAAAUAAGUGUUUAAUGAAUAGUGUUGUGCACUUUGUUUCCAACCCCACUGUUAUUGAACUGUAAAUUGAAAAUAUUGUGUGAUUUGUUUUGCAUUCAGUUUUCAGUUAAAAUAUUUCACACCAUCAAAGUUGAUAUUUUAUGAGGAUUUAUUUUUGGGGUUUCUGUUUAUACAGGACAGUACAGAAAGCGCACAAGUGGGAGAGAGUGGAGGGGACGGCAUCAGAAAGGACCUAGAGCUGGGACACUUUCAAGGAUCACCCAAAGCACAACCACACUAUAUGCACGAGGCUGUUGGUUCUAACAUUUUAGGGUCCCCCUCGGUAGAAAUCACAUUCCGCGUUCCCCAUAGUUUUUAUGAGUUUACAUGAAAAUCCUGUUGUUUCAACUGGAAAGAAAUCCCUCCGAUUGCAGAAUCCGAACAUAGUGUUUACAUGAAUGCUAAAUAGAGAGGAAGCAAGAACAAUGGAUAACAUUCCUCAAAUAAUGGGACUUCUAGACGGGACACAUAUUCCCCUCCUUCCUCCUUCAGAUGGGAACAAAGAGUUCGUAAACAGGAAAGGCUGGCCUUCUUACAUUCUACAAGCUGUUGUGGAUCACAGAUCAUGAGUCCUUACAGUGAAGACAUGACAAGGCCGUCAAAAAGAGGAAUAAUAUGGAGCGAAGAGACAGGAGACGACAGAGACCAAGAGAAGAAGGAACUCCUCUUCACUGCUAAAGAUCUGACUCGGUUAAUUCGUCAACAUGAGCAUAUAAACAAGAGAUGAAUGAAACGGGUGAAACAAUUAAUUGAAAUGAAUGAUUUUGACAUGGAAAUGAGAUCUUUGUCAAGCGAGGUUAACAUUUUGAGACUCCAAAAAGUCAGCACCGUUUCCAAAGAAUAGAAACAUAAGGAGGGGGCCUCUGUAGGCAGUUAACUGACAUCCUGUCCGACAACAUCCUGUCAGAGCGACACUGGCUUCCUGUGUUUGUGCUUACAUAAACAUAAUAAUGACAACCUCCUCAUAUAGUUUGGAGGCUGUGUUUGUGUGUGUGUGUGUGUGUGGGUGUAAUAGCUCUGCUUAGCUGAUGUAACUAUGGCAACACAAGACCCACUGCAGAGGAAAAGGGUGUCUUAAUUUUCAGCUUAACUUUUGUGUGCCCAAGAAGGGAAUACUUUGCUGAAUAUUUUGUUGAGGAGAAAUAUUAUAUCUGCCUCCUCCAUAUAUAAUGGAAUGCUUUCAACUGAAAAAAGAAUUGUGCCUCAUCUCGCUGUUAUUUUUGAUUAUGAGUUUUUGUUUUUACUAAAGCGAAACCAUUUCAUAUGUUGAUGUGUUUAAACUAGAGAUGCAUCGAUUAACCAGCAAGUGAUCGGAAUCUGACUAAUUUUUUGCAUGACUGGCCCGAAUCAAUGACGUCACAGCCACGUGCACACUUUACAGUCACUUGUAAACAUGUUGUUUCGCGUUAGAAUGAUUCUAAUUUUAAUUGCAUUCAGUGUAAACGACGACUGAUAAUGUAUUUAUGUUGUGCCAGAUGAGGCUUGCACAGCCUGAGUGAGUGUGUGAGACAGCACACACAAAGUAACUCACAGGAAUUUAUAGAUGCAUACUGCGGUAGAUAAAAAAAAGAUAUUUACAAAAUAUGAUUUAGGUAAGCAAUCCCAGCCGGCACAUGAUCGACCUACAACGUUGAAAUAUGGUUGAAAUAAGGUCAGUUGUUAUUUUAACGUUGAAUCAAUGUUGAUACAACCCACCCAGCACCAGACGUCAUCUGGGCAUUGUUUUUUGGGCUAAAUCAAGUCGGCCCAUCAUGGCCUUCUUUUAGACCAAAUAUCAGCGUUGAAAAUUGGUCUUUGUUUGGUCCAUCUGAUUGAGUCCAAAUUUAGCCCAAAAAUAGAUGUUGAAAACUGGGCUUUUGGUCCAUCUCAUUUAGUCCAAAUUUAGAAGCACGUUUAUUUCAGACCACAUAUAUAGCCAUUAACAUAAAUGUAGCUAUAAGAAAUAGAUUAGACAUAUGACAUAUCUGAAGAAUUUAAAUAUAUGAAAAUAUAUUUUAAAAAUACAUCAAACAUUAAAGCUUAAAAAUUGUUCCUCAUGAUACAUGUGUAAGUACGAAUAUUCAUGCAUUUUUAAUAAAAGUUUUUUUUUUUCAGUGUUAUUUCUACACCACGUUUACCAUUUCUAAAAAUUAUAUUAUAUUACAUUAUAUUAUAUUAACGUAAAUUCUGCGUAACUUCUACGUGCUUUACUGGGCGCGCGCGCUGAACUGGAGCGGAGGAAGUCACAAUGGAAACGGGGCGGCAGCUCAACUGUCAAGCUGCUAAACGCUGUCUCUCACGGUUGUUUUCACUAAUUUCAGGGAGGUUUCAUCUCUAAAAUUACACAAAUAGUACAUAAAAGUGUUCCUGACACUUUUUUUCAUGUAAAUGACACGCUUCCGUUGGACACUUUAUAGAAAUGGUUUAGUGUCUUCAGAAAAAGUCAAUUGGCAUCUCAACCGUAAGGCUAACUAUAAGAGGUAACUUGAGCUCUUCUUUAUGAAAGUUUGGGUUUUAAAUGUCAUCUUAUGUGUAGCGCUUUAUAUAUAAAGAGGGAGAGAGAUUUUGCUUUCAAUUUGUCAACGGUUGAAUGAAAGUAAGCUAAUUAAUUUAACCUAAAAGUAUGCACUGUACAGU
ensembl:lncRNA